CAGAACUGCUUAGAGCUGCGAUAUGAACUACUUUACAGCUGACUAGAGAACAGUUAGAGAACAGCAUGAAGUAGGUCGGGGUUAACAAGAAGAGGAGGAAGAUGGCAUGUUGCCCCUGCCCCCGGCAUGCCAGGCACAUUCCAGGUUUUCUAAAGAGACUCUUCAGCAGCUGGUUGAAAUGGUUUUUGAAGCACAGGAUGGUGAACUGACACUCAUUCCUGGAGAAGGUGUCUGAAGAUCUGAUAUACUGAGUUGGGAAGUGAUUCACUAUCUACUGCAGUGCAACAGUCUACAUUUGAAACUUAACUUCAGAAAGAUCAUCAUUCUUCUGAAAACAUCAGGGAACUUCUGCCUUUGCUGGACAGAAUCCAGAUUAAAAGGUUGAGCCCCAGCUUCAUGCUGACCAUCAUGAUGGAGAUUUACAAAACUUGCUCUUAUCAGUAUGUGUCCAGUCUGUUAAGUUCAGUAGAGGAUUACAUCAACAUGAACAGCAGAGUGCUGCACUGCGCUUCAC